CGGGGCCCAGCGGUGCGUGUGGGGUUCCAGUCUGCGCAGCCUCCAGAACGUCUGGAGAACAAAAAUCCUGCAAAGUGAAUUCUGUGCUGGUAGCCGCCAAAUUGACUGAGGGGCUCUGGGAGGUGGAUCAACGUGUUCUGACAGACAGUGUGAACGAACACACAGGAUGAAAAGCAUUGGUCGGCUCCCAAGUCCUGCCAGCUCCAGUCAAGCAAGCUCUCAGCAUCAGACUCACCUGCAAUCUUUCCACGGUUGUUCUCAGCAGCCACCUGCCUGCCUGCUCUCCAACCAAACGCCUCUCAGCCCCAGAGAUCCUUCUGCCUCUUCCAUAUUGGACACCACCCUUCCACUCGGACUCCAACUAACCAUUUAUCACUCUUAGAGGUCACCCCAGGACAUCGACGCCCCUCCCAAAAUUAAACCUCAGCGUCUCUACAGUAUAGGGCCAGGAAUGAGUGGCAGACAUUCAAAUCAGGUACAAUGAAGGACACAAAAAAGAAAUCAUAUGGAUAUAAAUAAAAGGUACAGAGGCACAACAUAAUGACCAGCAUCGACACAUACAUCGAUGACUAUCUCAUCUUACGCUUUGUUUAUGCAUCCAACCCAUCAACUGUGAGGAGCAUUUGGGGACAAGAAGAUUUCCUUGAAGCUUCAGAUAUCCUUCCCUCUAACAGAUGCCAUAAUAAAAAGAAUAUCAGCGUUGGUCACUUUAAUCUGUCAGUGAUCAUAAUGUUAUACCUAAUUGGUGUACAGAAAGGCUGUCAUUUUAAUUCCCGCAUAAAUUUUGUCCAUUAGGAUCAUGACGGAGAACAGAGUUCACAGGGGUGGGCCAUCCUUGGUUGCGCCACUGGUUCAGUAAUUUAAAAAAAAUCCAGCCUGCUGUGAUUUAAGCCGAUUUACCUACAUAGCACUGCAAUUAUUACCAUGAAUAAAGUUCUGAAAAUGAUAUUUAUCAUUUCAUGCAUGUAUUUUUCUGUCUAGGUACUUCAAGUAAUAAAAAAAAAAGAUAAAGUAAAAGUUAAAACAUUUUCUAUGAAAUCACAUCAAAUCCCACAUGCAGCAACUGACUUUUACUUUUUCAAAAUAAAAAUCUGCCUACAAAUGUCCAAAAACUAAAGACCUGUCGCACUUGUUAAAAAGAAAACUGAAAUAUUUGCAUGAAACGGUGGAUAUGAGACCAGCGCGCUGUGGUCCACGCUGUGGCGGAGCUUAGUGCCAAACAGCGCGCACAGCUGGAUUCCCCAUUGUUCAGGUCCUCUAAUCUCCUGAUCCGACAUCAUUGUAAACACAGCCGCGGUGCAAUGUGGCGAUGUGAUCUGGGCGCACUCGAAGGAAUCUUUUAACGAAAAGAAAGCACAGGAACAGUUGUCUGUUUGGGACUGCGCGGCAGAA